rnacentral:rRNA from 1 species
CAGUCGCCGCGGUAAUACGUAGGUGGCAAGCGUUGUCCGGAAUUAUUGGGCGUAAAGCGCGCGCAGGUGGUUUAAUAAGUCUGAUGUGAAAGCCCACGGCUCAACCGUGGAGGGUCAUUGGAAACUGUUAAACUUGAGUGCAGGAGAGAAAAGUGGAAUUCCUAGUGUAGCGGUGAAAUGCGUAGAGAUUAGGAGGAGCACCAGUGGCGAAGGCGGCUUUUUGGCCUGUAACUGACACUGAGGCGCGAAAGCGUGGGGAGCAAACAGGAUUAGAUACCCCUGUAGUCCCUGUCUCUUAUAC